rnacentral:rRNA from 1 species
AACGCGAAGAACCUUACCUAGACUUGACAUCCCCUGCAUAACCCAGAGAUGGGCGAAGUCCUUCGGGACAGGGUGACAGGUGGUGCAUGGUUGUCGUCAGCUCGUGUCGUGAGAUGUUGGGUUAAGUCCCGCAACGAGCGCAACCCUUAUCAUUAGUUGCUACCAUUUAGUUGAGCACUCUAGUGAGACUGCCCGGGUUAACCGGGAGGAAGGUGGGGAUGACGUCAAAUCAUCAUGCCCCUUAUGUCUAGGGCUACACACGUGCUACAAUGGUGAGUACAAAGAGAUGCAAGAUCGCAAGGUGGAGCCAAACUCAAAAACUCAUCCCAGUUCGGAUUGUAGGCUGCAACUCGCCUACAUGAAGCCGGAGUUGCUAGUAAUCGCGAAUCAGCAUGUCGCGGUGAAUACGUUCCCGGGCCUUGUACACACCGACGCGUA